rnacentral:rRNA from 1 species
CCUGUCCUUAGUACGAGAGGACCGGGAUGGACGUACCUCUGGUGUACCAGUUGUCCUGCCAAGGGCAUGGCUGGGUAGCUAUGUACGGAAUGGAUAAGCGCUGAAAGCAUCUAAGCGCGAAGCCAACUUCAAGAUAAGAUUUCCCACCGCAAGGGUAAGACCCCAGAAAGACUAUCUGGUUGAUAGGUCGAAGGUGUAAGUGCAGUAAUGUAUUUAGCUUAUCGAUACUAAUAGGUCGAGGACUUGACCAAU